GAGGAGGAGGAGGAGCGGGAGGAGGAGGAGGAGGAGGAGGAGGAGGAGGAGGAGGGGGGGAGAGGGAGAGAAGGAGGAUGGGGAGAGAAGGAAGCUCGCACGCACGUAUGAGGAUGAGAACGAGAUGCACUCGCGCCAGGUACAGCGCGAGAGAUUACAUUUCAUUUCAAUGUUUUACACUGCCACAGAACAGAUAUUGAUAUGAACAGACUUCUGGCUGGAAAAUUAAAAAAAAAAGAUUUAAUAUUGAAUAUUAGGUUAAACUACCACUUAAUGUGAUGCUAUAUUGCAAACAUGAAAACAAUAAGUGUAAAUGGGAGGAAACUGUACAUGCUCAGUUUAUGAAUACAGAUCCCGAAAAAGUCUGCUGCUGUAGUUUCCGUUUAUUCAUUACGCUGGAUCAGUUUGUGGCGCAGGUGAGAGCAGAGGUGAGCACAGCGCUGACCCCUGAUCACAAAGAGGUGAAAGCUGUUCUGACCUUUUCCCUUCAUCUGUGUGUGUGUGUGCAUCUGUCCCCUCUUUCCCGUGUUUCCCUCACUCCUCACGCCCUCUCUCUUUUAUUCUCUUUUUCUCGGUCUCUUUUUCUGCCCAAAGCUAAACUCUCUGACUCAUUCUAGUGAAUCAUCCCCCCCGUCCACCACCCCAUAAACACUCCCUACGCAGGUUGCCAUGGUGACCACAGGGUUCAGUGUGAGGGGGGGAGGCUUUGUGUGUGUGUGUGUGUGUUUGUAUGUUACAAUGCCUCAGGCAAAUGUGUUACCAGCCGGACUGAGGUCAGAGGUUAUGACCUGCCUCCUCUGCAUUUAUACCUGGGGCAGGAGGGUGCAGGAAAAAUGGACUCAAACACGCACGCUAGUGUCAUUCAUAUUCAUGUAUAUUGAUAUAAUAAAUUGGUAUGUAUUCUGUGCAUCUUCCCAGAUGGGAUCCAAAACACUGGAGGUGCAGCCUUGGGCGGCAGACGGACCGUCCUUCACAGCAGAACUCGAUCGUAUCAUCGCGUAUGUUACCAGGCCACAGCUGAACUGCUCCAGGGUUUUGUCUCCAGGUGAGGCUCAGGCAGCCCAGGCCCCCGCUGAUUCACCCCACUGGCUGCUGUGUGCUGAGGACUGGCUCCUUCCAGCAGCAGAUACGCCGUGUGUUGCAUACUCCUUUCGUAUGGAUGGGUUGGACGACGAUUUUCUUAAGACUGUGUUAGGGCUGGGAUGUGAAGUCCACAGUUUUGAUCCCAGCAGCUCCCGUGCAUCUGGUGGUUACCGUGGCAACAGUUUGGCCAGCAACCAUGGUGAUGGAGGCGUGGUCAGUGUCAGCCAGCACAAGAUGUGGCUGGAGUGGCGAGCCCCAAGGAAGCGCAAGCCGGGGACAAGAAGCAACCUGGGUAGUGUUUCUCAAACACUGGCAGACAUCAUGGCAUCUCUGGGACAUCACACAGUAAGACACACACACACACAGACAUAUGGAAAAAGAGUGCCAAACGAACAUACUUUAGAGUCUUUUCACCCCAAUAUGCCCAGAAAGCUGUCUUACUUGAAUGUUCCCAUAGCAACAGGGCUCUGCGCCAUCCCUGGCUGCCAUGGCAACAACUCAAGUAAGUGA
ensembl:lncRNA